UACGUAGGGGGCAAGCGUUGUCCGGAUUUAUUGGGCGUAAAGAGCGUGUAGGCGGCCAGGUAGGUCCGUUGUGAAAACUGGAGGCUCAACCUCCAGCGGUCGAUGGAAACCAUCUGGCUAGAGUCCGGAAGAGGAGAGUGGAAUUCCCGGUGUAGCGGUGAAAUGCGUAGAGAUCGGGAGGAACACCAGAGGCGAAAGCGGCGACCUGGACAGGAACUGACACUCAACUACGAAAGCGUGGGAGCAAACAGGG
rnacentral:rRNA from 1 species